UGAUGACGAUGGUGGUGAUGAUGACGAUGGUGAUGACGAUGGUGGUGAUGAUGAUGUCAUCGUCAUCCUCGUCGUCGUCAUCAUCAUCAUCAUCA
rnacentral:pre_miRNA from 1 species